rnacentral:lncRNA from 1 species
GACUAAAGCAGAAGCAGUCCAGAAACUUUCCGUGAGUCUGUGUGGUGAUUCUGCCCUUACCUCCCAGUCCGGGACCCCUGAAUCCUGUUCCCCAAGCAGUUUAGGACGAAAACAACAGUUGGUGCCCAAACAGGGGACUCGUGUAUACUGGGUAAAGAUUGAAGUUGCGGGUCGUCAGCUCUCUGGACAGUGACCUUCAGCACCUCCAGGCAGUAACUCAGUCACUCGUGGACACACCUGCUACUGUCACAACACCUUGGGUCUGGCUGCCAUCUGCUGGGUAUAAAUUCUAGCCGAAGAGGCCUCUGCGAUGCCCAGUGGACACAAAAUAAUGCUGGAAAAUGGGCACAGGUAUGUUGGAGGUGGAAACAGCCACUGUUGCUUGUGG